rnacentral:snoRNA from 1 species
CACCAUGUUUCCAAGAGCUUUGGCUGGGGUAUGGUCAUGGGCUCUCCAACUACAUCACCGAGUAACGUGGAGACACUCUGACAGCUCAGGUCAGCACAGUGCCUGCAGCUGCUACUCAUCUUAGAGAG